rnacentral:rRNA from 1 species
UACGGAGGAUGCGAGCGUUAUCCGGAUUUAUUGGGUUUAAAGGGUGCGCAGGCGGAUUUUUAAGUCAGCGGUCAAAGCCCGGGGCCCAACCCCGGGACUGCUUUGGAAACUGUGUAACUGGAGUACAGGAGGGGCAGGCGGAAUGCGCGGUGUAGCGGUGAAAUGCAUAGAUAUCGCGCAGAACCCCGAUUGCGAAGGCAGCCUGCCGGCCCCACACUGACGCUGAGGCACGAAAGCGUGGGUAUCGAACAGG